rnacentral:rRNA from 1 species
GACAGAGGAUGCAAGCGUUAUCCGGAAUGAUUGGGCGUAAAGCGCACGUAGGCGGCUUUGCAAGUUAGAGGUGAAAGCCCGGGGCUCAACUCCGGAAUUGCCUUUAAAACUGCAUCGCUAGAAUUGUGGAGAGGUAAGUGGAAUUCCGAGUGUAGAGGUGAAAUUCGUAGAUAUUCGGAAGAACACCAGUGGCGAAGGCGACUUACUGGACACAUAUUGACGCUGAGGUGCGAAAGCGUGGGGAGCAAACAGG